rnacentral:misc_RNA from 1 species
AACCAUUCUCACCUGCGGCUAGACCUGCGGAGGGAUCAUUAAUAAAUGUUACUUCGGUAACUUAAUUAAUCCCUAACACCUGUGCAUCUUGUCGCUUCGGCGUCAUUUUAUAAACAUCAGUGUAAUGAAUGUAACGUAUUAUAACAAAUACAACUUUUAACAAUGGAUCU